CAGUGUAAGGACACUAAGAUGAGGGUGUGUGUGGUUGUUAGAGAGCAACUUGUACUGAGCAUGACCAAUAUGAGAACCACAUGGAUGUCUACUCACUCAUCAGUGAUCUUCUCAAUACUGCAGUUGUGUGAGUGAUCCUUUGACCUAUGGGGUCUUUGGCUAUUCAUAGUGAGGCUAUUAAGUUUGACUGUACAUUUUCUUGAUCCCUAGCCAUUUGAGUCCUUGCUGUGU
rnacentral:lncRNA from 1 species